GCACUAGCUUCGGUAGUACAUACAGUAAAAUUGGAACAGUACCUACAGAGUAGAUUAGAAUGGCCCCUGCGCAAGGAUGUAUGUAUUUUGAAAUAUAUGUCUUGAAUUGAC